rnacentral:rRNA from 1 species
CACGUAGGGCGCAAGCGUUGUCCGGAAUUAUUGGGCGUAAAGAGCUCGUAGGCGGUCUGUUGCGUCCGCUGUGAAAACUCGGGGCUUAACCCCGAGCCUGCAGUGGAUACGGGCAGACUAGAGGUAGGUAGGGGAGAAUGGAAUUCCCGGUGUAGCGGUGAAAUGCGCAGAUAUCGGGAGGAACACCGGUGGCGAAGGCGGCAUCCUGGACCAACACUGACGCUGAGUGAGCGAAAGCCAGGGGAGCAAACGGG